CUCAGUCUAGGGCCCCGCGGAGAAGAGAGAGGGGAGGGGCGAGAGAGGGCGAGGCCGCGGGCGCGCUCCCUGCGGCCGCCUGAUAGGGCGCGCGGCGCUACGAGCACGCCCCGCGGGGAGGCGCUGCCUGGCGACUGCGCAGGCGCGGCACGCUGGAGUAGCCCCUUGGCACCCCCCACACCCCCCCGGGCUUCUUCCGGGGGUCGCCCUCCUGGCUACGCUGAGGAGGCUCCCGGCCGCGUGUGUCGCGUGUGUCGCGUGUGUCGCGUGUGUCGAGUUGAAGGUCUCGGCGCACUGACAGGCUCGGACGGCCGUAAGUUCCGGUGCAGCGGCGGCUCGUCAACGCGAGAAAAAAAAAAGUGGCGCCCUGGGUCGUUAAUAGGCUCUUUGCUGAAAUGAGACGCAUCCCCGGAGUGCCCGCCCUCGUGGCUAAUCGUGACGGGAGAAACAUUUAGACCUCCAUCCCGCUUUGCUUAACGAGCACGAGUCGACGUUCCAGAGAGCAGCAGUUUGAAGUGGAAAAACUGGCCGGCCUCUCAGGUUAAAUAGUCGUCCUCCUGCCCUGCCAUUCCCAGUGUGUUGCACCGCCGCAAAGCACACCUAGAGAGAGUGUCAUGGCUGGGAAGUUGAACCUGUGGUUCGUCCUGAUACAGGAGAAAACCCUGAGACAUCUGGAAACAUCUGGAUUGAGACAGAAGUAAAAACUACAUUUUUACACCCUGCCGCACCCCCUCCCGCCGGAAAAAAAAAUGUUAUGUAUAUUUAAUAUGUAAUUAAAAUUGGUCUUUGAGGGA